AGGAGGAACAACCGCAGUGACCGGGCCAGCUCUGGAGCCCUGGAUUCAGUUCCCGCAGGAACUACAGAGCUCUCGGUCUGCAUGGCCUGGAAGCUCCGGGGGCGG
rnacentral:pre_miRNA from 1 species